GACGAACGGUGCGAACGUUGUUCGGAAUCACUGGGCUUAAAGGGCGCGUAGGCGGGCUGUCCAGUCUGGGGUGAAAUCCCACGGCUCAACCGUGGAACUGCCUCAGAUACUGACGGCCUCGAGGGAGAUAGGGGCAUGCGGAACUGUAGGUGGAGCGGUGAAAUGCGUUGAUAUCUACAGGAACUCCGGUGGCGAAGGCGGCGUGCUGGAUCUCUUCUGACGCUGAGGCGCGAAAGCUAGGGGAGCAAACGGG
rnacentral:rRNA from 1 species